rnacentral:lncRNA from 1 species
CGAAUGAUCACUGCAUCUGCCUUCAUGGGCACUGCAUCCUCCAUCACAACAUUCAUCAUCACUGCAUGAGCACUGAAUCCAUAUUAGGGACACUGCAUUCAGAUGCAUUGACAGUGCAGAUGCACUGCAAUGAAUGCAGGAUCACUGCAUCCUCCUUCAGGGGUCCUGCAUCCUACUUCACAGCAUACUGCAUCCACCUUGGGUCACACUGCAGAGGCUGCGUGGGCCCUGCAUCCACAUUCAGAGACACUGCAGUGGGCUCUGCAAACACUGCAGCAACACUGCAUUCAGCUGAAGUGGCACUGCAGGUGCACUGCAAUCACUGAAAGUUCAGUGCAUCCACUGCUUGUUCACUGCAUCCACAUUCAGGGACACUGCGGUGUACAUGGAAACCAGUGAAGGAUCACUGCAUCCACCUUCAUGGGCACUGCAUCCUAUGUCACAACAUACUGCAUCCAACUUCUGUGACACUGCAUACACUGCCGGGGCACUGCAUCCACAUUCCCAGACAAUGCAGGCAGCACCGCAACGACUGCAGGGACAGUGUAUGCAGCUGAAGUGGAACUGCAGGUGCACCGCGAUAACUGAAUGUUCACUGCAUCCACUUCAUGUUCACUGCAUCCACAUUCAGGGACACUGCAGUGUGCACGGAAACCACUGCAGGAUCACCGCAUCCACCUUCAUGGGCAUUGCAUCCUCUGUCACAACAUACUGCAUCUACCUUGAGUGACACUGCAGCCAUUGCAUGGGAACUGCAGCCACGUUCAGCCACAGGGCAACAGGCACUUCAACCACUGCACAGACACUGUAUAGAGUUGAAGUGGCACUGCAGGCGCACUUCAAUCACUGCAGUCUCACUGCAUUCACAGUCGUGGGCACUGCAUCUUCCGUCACAACAUACUGCAUCCACCUUGUGCAACACUGCAUCCACUGCAUGGGCACUGCAUCCACAUUCAGGGAACCUGAAGGGGCACUGCAACAACUGCAGGAUCACCGCAUCCACCUUCAUGGGCACUGCAUCCUCCAUUAAAACAUACUGAAUCAGCCUUGUGGGACACUGCAUCCACUUCAUGGGCACUGCAUCCACCAUCAGUGACACAGAAGGGGGCAUGACAACCAGUGCAGGAACACUGCAUGCACCUUCAUGGGCAAUGCAUCAUCCAUCAGAACAUACUGUUUGUACCUUCAGUGACACUUCACCCAUUGCAUGGGCACUGCAACCACUUUCAGCGAAACUGUAGGGGGCACGGCAACAACUGCAGGUUCACAGCAUCCACCUUCAUGGGCACUUCAUCCUGCGAGAAAGCGUACUGCAUCCACCUUUUGAGAAACUGCAUCCACUGCAUGACUCCUGCAUCCACAUUCUAGGACAAUGCCAGGGCACUGAAACCAGUGCAGGGAGACUGCAUCCACGUUGAUGGGCACUGCAUCCUCCGUCACAACAUACUGCAUAAACCUUUAGGUAAACUGCAUCCACAGCAUGGGAAAUGCAUUCACCUUUAGGGACACAGAAGGCAUCACUGCAACCCCUACAGGGACACUGCUUCCAGCUGAUGUGGAAAUGCAGGUGCACUCCAACCACUGCAGGAUCACUGCAUCCACUGCAUGUUCACAGCAUCCACAUUCAGGCCCAAAGCAGGGUGCACCGCAACCACUGAGGGAUCCCUGCAUCCACAUUCGUAAACAUUGCAUCUUCCAUCACAACCUACGACAUCCACCUUGUGGGACACAGCAACUACUGCAUGGGCACUGCAUCCACAUUCAGGGAACUCUAAGAGGCACUGCAACCAGUGCAGCAUAACUGCAUCCACCAUCAUGGGCCCUGCAUCCUCCUUCACAACCUAUUGCAUCCAAGUUGUGGGACUCUGCAUCCACUGCAUGACUCCUGUAUCCACAUUUCCGGACAAUGCGGGGGGUACUGCAAUCACUGCAGCAACACUAUAUUCAGCUGAAGUGGCACUGCAGAAGCACUGCCAUCACUUCAGGAUCACUGCAUUCACAUUAAUCGGCACUACAUACUACACACACCACAAUGCCUUCACAUUGUGGGACUCUGCAUCCACUGCAUGAGCACUGCAUCCACAUUCCAGGACAAUGCAAGGGGCAUUGAACCCACUGCAGGGACACUGCAUCCACUGCAUGGGCACUGCAGUCACCUUCAGGGACACUGAAGAUGGCAUUGCAACCCCUGAGGGACACUGCAUCUAGCUGAUGUGGAAAUGCAUGUGCAAUGCAAUCACUGCAGGAUCUCUGCAUCCAUGGCAUGUUUACAGCAUCCACAUUCAGAGACACAGCAGGGUGCACUUCAACCACUACAGGAACACUGAAUACAGAUGAAGUGGACUGAGGUGAACUGCAAUGACUGCAGGAUCACUGCAUCGUCCUUCAUGGGCACUGAAUCCUGCUUCACAACAUACUGUGUCCACCUUGAGUCACACUGCAGACACUGCCUGGGCACUGCAUCCACCUUCUCUGACAAUGCAUUGCGCACUGCAACCACUGCAGUGACAGUGCAUCCAUCUUAAAUCAGACUGCAGGUGCACAGGAUGAAGCACAGGCUCACGGCAUCCAACUUUGUGGGCACUGCAUCCUCCGUCACAACAUACUGCAUAAACCUUUACAUACACUGCCUCCACUGCAUGGGCACUGCAUUCACCUUCAGAGACUCAGAAGGUUGCACUGCAACCACGGCAGCGACACUGCUUCCAGCUGAUGAAGAAAUGCAGGUGCACUGCAAUCACUACAGGAUCACUGCAUCCACUGCAUGUUCACAGCAUGCACAUUCAGGGACACAGCAGGGUGCACUGCAACCACUACAGGAACACUGAAUCCAGAUGAAAUGAACUGAAGUGAACUGCAAUGACUGUAGAAUCACUGCAUUGUCCUCAUGGGCACUGAAUCCUGCUUCACAACAUACUGCAUCCACCUUGAGUCACACUGCAGACACUGCAUGGGCACAGCAUCCACAUUCAGGGACAUGGCAGGGGCUCAGCAACCUAUGCAGCUACACUGCAUCCAGCGGAAGUGGUACUGGAGGUGCACUGCAAUCACUGAAGAUUCACUGCAUCCACUGCAUAGGCACUGCAUCAACAUUUCAGGACAAUGUCAGGGGCACUGCAACUACUGGAGGUACACUGUAUCCCCCUUCAUGUGCACUGCAUACUCCGUCACAACAUACUGCAUAAACCCUUAGGUACACUGCAUUCACUGCAUGGGCACUGCAUUCACAUUCAGCUACACAGAAGGUGGCACUGCAACCCCUGCAGGGACACUGCUUCCAGCUGAUGUGGAAAUGCAGUAAUACUGAAAUCACUGCAUGAUCACUGCAUCCACUGCAUGUUCAGAGCAUGCACAUUCAUGGACACAGCAGGGUGCACUGCAACCACUGCCAGAUCACUGCAUCCACCCUCACAGGCACUGCACCCUCCAUCACAACAUAGUGCAUCCACCUUGUGGGACAACGCAUCCACUGUAUGACUACUGCAUUAACAUUACUGGACAAUGCAGGGGGCACUGCAAGCACUGCAGGGACACUGCAUCCACCUUCAUGAGAACUGCAUCAUCCGUCAUAACAUACUGCAUCCACCUAGUGGGACACUGCAUCCACUGCCUGUGCACUGCAUCCACAUUUCAGGACAAUGCAGGGGGCACUGCAACCACUGCAUGGACACUGCAUCCACGUGAAGUGGCACUGCAGGUGCACUGACAUCACUGCAGGAUCACUGCAUUCACCUUUAUCGGCAUUGGAUGCUACAACACACCACAAUGCCUCCACAUUGUGGGACACUGCAUCCACUGCAUGAGCACUUCAUCCACAUUCCAGGACAAGGCAGGGGGCAUUGCAACCACUGCAGUGACACUGCAUCCAGCUGAAUUGCCACGGAAGGAGUACGGCAAUCACUGCCGGCUGACUGCAUUGAACUCCAGGGCUCUUCAUCCUCUGUCACAACAUACGACAACCAACUGUUGGUACUCUGCAUCCACUGCAUGGGCACUGCAUACACAUUCAGGGACACAGAACAAGGCAGGGAAACCACUUCAGGGACACUGCCACCAGCUGAAGUGGCACUGCAAGUUCACUGCAAUGACAGCAGGAUCACUGCAUAAUCCUUCAUGAUCACUGAAUCCUACAACACAUCAUAAGUCAUCCACCUUGAGGGACACUGCAUCCACUGCAUGAGCACUGCAUCCACAUUCAGGUAAACUGCAGGGGGCACUGCAACCACUGCAGGAUCACUGCAUCCACCUUCAUGUGCACUGCAUCCUCCAUCACAACAUACUGCAUGCACAUUUUGGGACACUGCAUCCACUGCAUGGGGACUGCAUCCACGUUCAGGGACACUGCACAUGGCUCUGCAAACUCUGCAGCAACACCGCAUCCAGCUGAAGUGGCACUGCGAGUGCACUGCAAUCACUUCAGGAUCACUGCAUCCACUGCAUGUUCACAGCAUCCACAUUCAGGGACACAGCAGGGUGCAUUGCAACCAUUGCAGAGACAGUGCAUCCAGAUGAGGUGGCACUGCUGGUGCACUGCAAUGACUGCAGGCUCACUGAUACAACUGAAGUUGCAAUGCAGGCUCAACUGCAUUCAGCACAGGCUCAUUGCAUCCACCUUCUUGGGCACUGCAUCUUCCAUCGCAACAUAUGACAUCGACCUUGUGGGACACUGCAACUACUGCAUGGGCACUGCAUCCAAAUUCAGGGAACUGUAGGGGGCACUGCAAUCACUGUAGGAUCACUGCAUCCAAUGCAUGUUCACAGCAUCCACAUUCAGGGAACUGUAGGGGGCACUGCAACCACUGCAGCAUCACUGCAUCCACCUUCAUGGGCCCUGCAUCCAGCGUCACAAUAUACUGCAUGCACAUUGUGGGACACUGCAUCCACUGCAUGGGGACUGCAUCCACGUUCUGGGACACUGCAGUUGGCCCUGCAUCCACUGCUGCAACACUGCUUCCAGCUGAUGUGGAAAUGCAGGUGCACUGCAAUCACUGCACGAUCACUGCAUCCACUGCAUCUUCACAGCAUUCACAUUCAGGGACACAGCAUGCUGCACUGUAACCUCUGCAGGCAAUCUGGAUCCUGAUGAAGUGGCACUGCAGGUGCACUGCAAUGACUGCAGGAUCACUGCAUCGUCCUUCAUGUUCACUGAAUCCUGCUUCAGAACAUACUGCAUCCACCUUGAGUCACACUGCAGACACUGCAUGGGCACAGCAUCCACAGUCAGGGACAUGGCAGGGGGCCCUGCAACCACUGCACCUACACUGCAUCCUGCUGAAGUGUCACUGUAGGCUCACUGUAAUCACUGAAGUUUCCCUGCAUUCCCUGCCUUGGCACUGAAUCAACAUUUCAGGACAAUGCCGGGGGCACUGCAACCACUGGAGGGGCACUGCAUCCCCCUGCAUCGGCAUUGCAUCCUCCGUCACAACAUACUGCAUAAAACUUUAGGUACCCUGCAUCCACUGCAUGGGCACAGCAUUCAUCGUCAGUGACACAGAAGGCGGUACUGCAACCCCUGCAGGGACACUGCUUCCAGCUGAUGUGGAAAUGCAGGCAUACUGAAAUCACUGCAUCCACUGCAUGUUCAGAGCAUGCACAUUCAUGGACACAGCAGGGUGCACUGCAAUCACUGCCGGAUCACUGCAUCCACCCUCAUGGGCACUGCAUCCUCCAUCACAACCUACUGCAUGCACCUUGUUGGACACUGUAUCCAAUGCCUGGGCACUACAUCCACUUUCUCGGAUGAUGCAUUGGGCACUGCACCCACAGCAGGGACACUGCAUACAGCUGAAGUUGCCCUGCAUGUGCACUGCAAUCACUGAAUGUUCAGUGCAUCCACUGGUUGUUCACUGCCUCCACAUUCAGGGACAGUGCAGUAUACAUGGAAACCACUGAAGGAUGACUGCAUCCACCUUCAUGGGCACCGCAUCCUAUGUCACAACAUACUGCAUCGAACUUUUGUGUCACUGCAUACACUGCCUGCGAACUGCAUCCACAUUCCCAGACAAUGCAGGCAGCACUGCAAUGACUGCAGGGACAAUGUAUGCAGCUGAGGCGGAACUGCAGGUUGACCGCAAUCACUGAAUGUUCACUGCAUCCACUUCAUGUUCACUGCAUCCACAUUCAGGGAAACUACAGAGUGUAUGGGAAACCACUGCAGGAUCACUACAUCCACCUCAAUGGGCACUGCAUCCUCUGUCACAACAUACUGCAUCUACCUUCAGUGACACUACAGCCAUUGCAUGGGCACUGCAACCACGUUCUGGGAUAGGGCAACAGGCACUGCAACCACUGCAGGGACUCUGGAUCCAGCUGAAGUGGCACUACAGGCACACUGCAAUCACUGCAGGAUCACUGCAUCUGACUUCAUGGGCACUGCAUCCUCCAUCACAACAUACUUCAUCACUGCAUGAGCACUGCAUCCAAAUUCAGGGACAGUGCAAGUUGCACUGCAGCGACUGCAGGGACAAUACAUCCAGUGAAGUGGCGCUGCAUGCGCACUGCACCCACUGCAGGAUCACUGCAUCUGCCUUCAUGGUCACUGAAUCCUCCAUCACAACAUACAUCAUCACUGCAUGAGCACUCAAUCCACAUUCAGGGACACUGCAUCCAGAUGAAUUGACACUGCAGGUGCACUGCAAUGGAUGCAGGAUCACUGCAUCCUCCUUCAUGGGGACUGCAUCCUAAUUCACAACAUACUGCAUCCACCUUGCGUCAACUGCAGAGGCUGCAUGGGCCCUGCGUCCACAUUCAGAGACACUGCAGUGGGCUCUGCAACCACUGCAGCAACACUGCAUUCAGCUGAACUGGCACUGCAGGUGCACUACAAUCACUAUUCAGUGCGUUUACUGCUUGUUCACUGCAUCCACAUUCAGGGACAUGGCAGUUUGCACGGAAACCACUGCAGGAUCACUGCAUCCACCUUCAUGGGCACUGCAUCCUCUGUCACAACAUACUGCAUCCAACAUGUGUGACACUGCAUACACUGCUUGGGCACUGCAUCUGCAUUCCCGGAUAAUGCAGGCAGCACUGCAACCACUGCAGGGACACUGUAUACAGUUGAAGUGGCACUUCAGGCGCACUGCCAUCACUGCAGUCUCUCUGCAUUCACAAUCAUGAGCCCUGCAUCCUCCAUCACAACAUAUUGCAUCCAGCUUGUGCGACACUGCAUCCACUUUAUGGGCACUGCAUCCACAUUCAGUGAACCUGAAGGGGGCACUGCAACAACUGCAGGAUCACCUCAUCCACCUUCAUGGGGAAUGCAUCAUCCAGCAUAACAUACGAAAUCUACCUUCAGUGACACUGCAGCCAUUGUAUGGGCCCUGCAUCCACAUUCAUGGAUCCUGAAGGGGGCACUGCAACCACUGCAGGAUCACUGCAUCCACCUUCAGGGGCACUGCAUCCUCUGUAACAACAUACUUCAUUGAACUUGUGUGACACUGCAUCCACUGCUUGGGCACUGCAUCAGCAUGUCUGGACAAUGCAGGCAGCACUGCAACCACUGCAGGGACACAGUAUACAGUUGAAGUGGCACUGCAGGUGCACUGCAAUCACUGAAUCUCAAUGCUUUCACAGUCGUGGGCACUGCAUCUUCCGUCACAACAUACUGCAUCCACUUAUGCGACACUGCAUCCACUGCAUGGGCACUGCACCCACAUUCAGGGACCCUGAAGGGGACACUGCAACAACUGCAGAAUCACCACAUCCAAGUUCAUGGGCACUGCAUCCUCCAUUACAGCAUACUGCAUCUGCCUUGUGGGACACUGCAUCCACUGCAUGGUCACUGCAUCCACAAUCAGGGACACAGAAGUUGGCAAGACAGCCAACGCAAGAACACUGCAUCCACCUUCAUGGGCAAUGCAUUAUCCAUCAUAACAUACUGCAUCCACCUUGUUGGGCAGUAAAUCCAAUGCAAGGGCACGGCAUUCUCAUUCAGGGAUGCUGCAGGGGGCACUACCACCACUGCAGGAUCACUGCAUCCACUUCCAUGGGCACUCCAACCUCCGUCACAACAUACUGCAUCUACCUUCAGUGACACGGCAGCCAUUGCAUGGGCACUGCUGCCACAUUCAUGGACAGUGCAACAGGCACUGCAACAACUACAGGGACUCUGGAUCCAUCUGAAGUGGCACUGCUGGCGCACUUCAAUCACUGCAGGAUUACUGCAUCUGCCUUCAUGGCACUGCAUCCUCCAUCACAACAUUCUUGAUCACUGCAUGAGCACUGCAUUCAAAAUAAGUGACAGUGCAGGUUGCACUGCAGCGACUGUAACUGAAGUGGCACUGCAUGCGCACUGUAACCCCUGCAGAAUCACUGCAUCCACAUUCAUGGGCACUGCAUCCUCUGUCUCAACAUGCAAUAUCCAUCUUUUGGUAUUCUGCAUCCACUGAAUUGACACUGCAUUCAUAUUCAGAGACAAAGAUGGGGGCACAGCAACCCCCACAGGAACACUGCAGCCAGCUGAAGUGGCACUGCAGGUGCACUGCAAUCACUGCAGAAACACUGCAUCCUCCUUCAUGGGCAAUGCAUCAUCCGUCAUAACAUACUGCAUCCACCUUGUGGGGCACUGAAUCCACUGCAUGAGCACUGAAUUCACCUUCAGGGACACAGAAGGUGGCACUGCAACCCAUGCAGGAACACUGCAUCCAGCUGAAGUGGCACUUCAAGUGCACUGCAAUCACUGCAGGCUCAAUGCAUCCACCUUCAUGUGCACUGCAUCCUCCGUGACAGCAUACCGCAUCAACCUUGUGGGACACUUCAUGUACUGCAUGGGCACUGCAUCUAAAUUCAGGGAAAGUGUAGGUGGCACUGCAAUCACUGCAGGUUCACCGCAUCCACGUUCAUGGGCACUGCAUCCUCUGUCACAACAUACUGCAUAAACCUUUAGGUAACCUGCAUCCACUGCGUUGGAACUGCAUUCACAUUCAGUGACAGAGAAGGCGGCACUCCGCCUGCAGGGACACUGCUUCCAGCUGAUUUGGAAGUGCAGGCACACUGCAAUCAUUGCAGGAUCACUGCAUCCAUUGCAUGUUCAGAGCAUGCACAUUCAGGGACACAGCAGGGUACACUGCAACCACUGCAGGUUCACCACAUCCACCUUCAGGGGCACUGGAUGCUCCUUCACAACAUAGUGCAUGCACCUUGUGGGACACUGCAUCCAAUGCUUGGGCACUGCAUCCAAGUUCUCAGGCACUGCAGUGUGCACUGCAUUAACUACAGGCUCACGGAAUCCCCCUUGUGGGUACUGCAUCCUCUGUCACAACAGACUGCAUCCAACAUGUGGGACACAGCAUGCACUGCAUGGGCACUGUAUCCACAUUCAGGGAAACUUAGCGGGCACUUCAGCCACACAGGUUCACCACAUCCACCUUCAUGUGCACUGCAUCCUCCAUCACAACAUACUGCAUGCACCUUGUGGGACUCUGCAUCCAAUGCCUAGUCACUGCAUCCAUGUUCUCGGAGAAUGCACUCGACACUGCAACCACUACAGGGACACUGCAUACAGCUGAAGUCGCACUGCAGGUGCACUGCAUUCAGCACAGGCUCAUUGCAUCCACCUUCGUGGGCACUGCAGCUUCCAUCACAACAUACGACAUCCACGUUGUGGGACACUGCAACUACUGCAUGGGCACUGCAUCCAUAUUCAGGGAACUGUAGGGGGCACUGCAACCACUGCAGCAUCUCUGCUUCCACCUUCAUGGGGCCUGCAUCCUCGAUCACAACAUACUGCAUCCAACUUGUGGACACUGCAUCCGCUGCAUGACUACUACAUCCACAUUCCCGGACAAUGCCUGGGACACUGCAAGCAAUGCAGGGAUACCAUAUCCACCUUCAUGAGAAUUGCAUCAUCCGUCAUAACAUACUGCAUCCACCUUGUGGGACACUGCAUCCACUGCCUGGGCACUGCAUUCACAUUCCCAGACAAUGCUGGGGGCACUGCAACCACUGCAGCAACACUGCAUCCAGCUGAAGUGGCACUGCAGGUGCACUGCAAUCACGGCAGGAUCACUGCAUCAUGCUUCAAGGGCAAGAGUCCUACUUCACAACAUACUGCAUCCGCUUUGUGGGACACAGCAUCCACUGCAUGACUACUGCAUCCACAUUCCCGGACAAUGUGAGGGGCACUGCUAGGACUGCAGGAACACUGCAUAGACCUUCAUGAGAACUGAAUCAUCUGUCAUAACAUACUGCAUAAAACUUUAGAGACACUGCCUCCACUGCAUGGGCACUGAACUCACCUUCAGGGACACCGAAGGCGUAACUGCAACCACUGCAGCAACACUGCUUCCAGCUGAUGAGGAAAUGUAAGUGCACUUCAAUAACUGCAGGAUCACUGCAUCCACUGCAUGUUCACAGCAUCCACAUUCAGGGACACAGAAGGGUGCUCUGCAACCACUGCAGAGACACGGCAUCCAGAUGAAGUGGCACUGCAGGUGCACUGCUAUGACUGCAGGAUCACUGCAUCGUCCUUCAUGGGCACUGACUCCGAUUUCACUACAUACUGCAUCCACCUUUUGGGACACUGCAUCCACUGCAUGACUAGUGCAUCCAAAUUCUCAGACAAUGCGGUGGGCACUGCAAGCACUGCAGCAACACUGCAUACACCUUCAUGAGAACUGCAUCAUCCGUCAUAACAAACUGCAUCCACCUUGUGGGAGACUGCAUCCACUGCCUGGGCACUGCAUCCACAUUCCUGGACAAUGCAGGCGGCACUGCAACCACUGCAGCAACACUGCAUCCAGCUGAAGUGGCACUGCAGGCAAAAUGCCAUCACUGCAGGAUCACUGCAUUCACCUUCAUCGGCACUGCAUACUACAACACACCACAAUGCCUCCACAUUGUGGAACACUGCAUCCACUGCAUGAGCACUGCAUCCACAUUCCAGGACAAUGCAGGGGGCAUUGUAACUACUGCUGGGACACUGCAUCCAGCUGAAGUGGCACUGAAGGUGUACUGCAAUCACUGCCGGCUCUCUGCAUCCAAUGCCAGGGCUCUGCCUCCUCAGUCACAACAUACGGCAGCGAACUUUUGGUACUCUGCAUCCACUUCAUGGGCACUGCAUUCACACUCAGGGACACAGGACGGGGCACUGCAACCAUUGCAGAAACACUGCAGCCAGCUGAAAUGACACUGCAAGUUCACUGCAAUGACUGCCGGAUAACUGCAUCAUAAAUCAUGAUCAAUGAAUCCUCCAACACAUCAGAAGGCAUCCACCUUGAGGGCCACUGCAUCCACUGCAUGACCACUGCACCCACAUUCAGGUAAACUGCCAGCGGCACUGAAACCACUGCAGGAUCACUGCAUCGAUCUUCAUGGGCACUGCAUCCUCCGUCACAACAUACUGCAUGCACAUUGUGGGACACUGCAUCCGCUGCUUGACCCCUGCAUCCACAACCCAGCACAAUGCUGGGGUCACUGCAACCAUUGCAGGGACACUGCAUCCACCUUCAUGCACACUGUGUCCUCCGUCACAACAUACUGCAUAAACAUUUAGAGACACUGCCUCCACUUCAUGGGCACUGCAUUCACAUUCAGGAAGACAGAAGAAGGCACUGCAACCACUGAAGCAACACUGCUUCCAGCUGAUGAGGAAACGCAGGUGCACUGCAAUCACUAAAGGAUCAAUACCUCCACUGCAUGUUUACAGCAUCCACAUUCAGGGACACAGCAGGGUGCACUGCAACCACUGCUGGGACACUGCAUCCAG